CAAUCGGCCCUUUUCAAGGCCAACAAACGUUAUUAAAAGAGUUUAUU
rfam:Aedes aegypti strain Liverpool supercont1.533 genomic scaffold, whole genome shotgun sequence.